GACAGAGGUGCCGAGCGUUAGGCGGAAUCACUGGGUUUAAAGCGUGUGUAGGCGGACGCCUAAGUGCCUUGUGAAAUCCCACGGCUCAACCGUGGAACCGCUGGGCAGACUGGGCGUCUUGAGCCGCCGAAGGGCAGUCGGAACAAGCGGUGGAGCGGUGAAAUGCGUAGAUAUCAAGAGGAACACCUGCGGCGAAGGCGGGUUGCUGGGCCGACACUGACGCUGAGGCGCGAAAGCCAGGGGAGCGAACGGG
rnacentral:rRNA from 1 species